rnacentral:rRNA from 1 species
AUUGAACGCUGGCGGAAUGCCUUACACAUGCAAGUCGAACGGUAGAGGGGGCAACCCCUCGAGAGUGGCGAACGGGUGAGUAAUAUAUCGGAACGUGCCCAGUCGUGGGGGAUAACGUAGCGAAAGUUACGCUAAUACCGCAUACGAUCUACGGAUGAAAGCGGGGGAUCGCAAGACCUCGCGCGAUUGGAGCGGCCGAUAUCAGAUUAGGUAGUUGGUGGGGUAAAGGCUCACCAAGCCAACGAUCUGUAGCUGGUCUGAGAGGACGACCAGCCACACUGGAACUGAGACACGGUCCAGACUCCUACGGGAGGCAGCAGUGGGGAAUUUUGGACAAUGGACGCAAGUCUGAUCCAGCCAUUCCGCGUGCAGGAUGAAGGCCCUCGGGUUGUAAACUGCUUUUGUACGGAACGAAAAGGUUUCUAUUAAUACUAGGAGCUCAUGACGGUACCGUAAGAAUAAGCACCGGCUAACUACGUG